rnacentral:lncRNA from 1 species
CCGGCCGCGAGGCCGCAAGCACUGGGUGGACCGUCGGACGGAUCGCGGGACCGAACGACGGACGCCCGGGGCCGGCGUGGGGCUGGUCGGCUGCCCGGGGCGAGGGCGGGAGACUUCCUGCUCAGAACCAGUCCGACCAGCUUGGCGCUGGGACGCCUCCCCGCGCUGUGCCGCGGCCCGGGGUGCCGAGGAGCUGGGCUGGGGGCGGGGACCCCUGCCGGGAACCCGACUUAGCCCGGAGACGCUCAAGAGCAAGAAGCCGAGCGGAAAAGUUAGCGCAGGUUGUGGAAAUCAUAUGAGUUCCCUGCUAGUGACAUUGGAGUGCACAGAUGAAUAUCGACAAGGCUCCAGGGAGUUCUGAACAGAGGCCAAGGCAGGCCCUGGAGCUGUAUGCUGCUUACAGGAAAAGAGAAAGAGGGGACCCCAAUAGUCUAGGUCCCUGGAUCCUCUGACCCGGGGCCUGACACUGUCAGGGAAGCUGCUGUCUCCCUAGGGACCUACUGAAUGUUCUUCCCAUGGCUGGUCAGUGCUGACACCUCAACACAGGAAGAGAAAUACUCCUAUGAAGUCAUCUGAAGCCUGGUCAUGCCAGGGACACUUCACGAAGGCAGGAACAGUCCUGUUUCUAAAAGCCCAAAAUCUAACAGCCUCUCUACAGAUAUAAAAGCCCAAAGACAUGGAAAGUUUGUAUGCAGACAACCCUAGAAGUAAGGAAAAGUGAAUGACAUAUAUGUCAAUGCCCAGAAAGUUCCUUGAGAUCAGACACUGUACAUUUAUGGGAUACUUUCUAAGUGCCAGCUACUGUACUUGGUGCUGGAUCAGUGCAUCCAUUUCCCGGGGCUCCCGUGAUGAAGUGCCACAAACUGGAUGGCUUUAAACAACAGAAGUUUACUCUCUCACAGUUCUGAAGGUUAGAAGUCUGCCAUGAAGAUGUGAGCACAGCCAGCCUCUCUCCAAAGGCUCCAGAGGAGAAUCCUUCCUUGCUUCUUCCCAGAGCUCCUUGGCAUACAGCUGCAUUACUCCAAGAUUUGCCUCUCUUGUCACACAGCAUUCUGCCUGUGUCUCUUGUUUGUGUUCAAGUAUCCCUCCACCCUAAUUUAGUAUGACCUCAUUUUAGCUUGAUUAUGCCUGCAAAUACCCUAUUUCCAAAUGAGGUCACAUUCACAGGUACCAGAAGUUAUGAAUUGAACACAUCUUUUUUGGGAUGUGUUCUACCCAUUAUAAUUCAUUCUACCCACUAUAAUCACAAGUGGCUUUGACAUUCAGUGACACAAAGAUGAUAAGGACUCGGUUCCUGACCUCAGGACAUUCUCAGUCUAUCAGUGAAGACAAACACAUGCUGGUGAACACACACACAUACACAAGCACACAUAUACCCCGAGCCUCAUUCAAGUCAGACUGUGAUUAAAAAUGGAAAUUGUGUCAUCAGGAGGGAUUGGGGAAGUCUUCACACAAGAAAGAACAUCUAAGUUGGGCCUUGAAGGGUAAGUGGAAUUCAACUGUCAGAAAGGGUGUAAGGGCAUCCAGCUAUAGGACACAGCAUAAACAAAGACAUUGGGACAUAAACAUGAAAGGUGUGUGUGGAACAGAGAGAAGACUAGUCUGCGUGAAGCAUUGAGCCCCUUCCAAGGCUGAAAAGAAAGGUUGGAGACAGGUAGUAAGGACUUUGUGUGUUGUGCUAAAGAGUCAGUCAGCCUUGGCCGGUUAUGGAGACUCACACGUGUAAUCCCAGCAUUUUAGGAGGCUGAGGCGGGCAGAUCACUUGAGGUCAGGAGUUCAAGACCAGCCUGGGCAACAUGGCAAAACCCCAUCUCUACUAAAAAUACAAAAAAUGAGCUGGGCGUGGUGGCACACAUCUGUAAUCCCAGCUAUUUGGGAGGCUGAGGCAAAAGAAUCACUUGAACCUAGGAGGCAGAGAUUGCAGUGUGCCAAGAUCACACCACUGAACUGCACUGCACUCCAGCCUUGGCAACAGAGCAAGACUCUGUCUCAAAAAAAAAAAAAAGCCUUUAUCCUGUAGAAUUAAGUUGAAUAUAGAAAAUGAGAAGGGUUUGGAGGCAGUGUGGCAAGAGAUCACACUGGAAGGGAGACAGCUUAGGGGGCUAUUUUUUAUAGUCAACAAAAGAAAUGAAGGCCCUGAGCAAGGGCACCAGGAGGAUGGGGAGGAGAAGGUGUUGGCAGGAGUUUUGGAAGGCUGGAUGGCCAGGACUGAGUUGAUUGACUACGGCUUGUGAGGGAGGAGAAAUCUAGGUGACUCCCAUCUCCCUGCUGGAGGGACUGGGUGAAUGAGAUGCCAUUGAUGAGACAGGGAUGUGAGAGCAGGAGAUCUAGGGAGGGGUGACUUUAGACCACCGAGGGUUUCUCAGCCUCAGCAUUAUGGCCAUUUCAGCCUGAUAAUUCCUUGUCGGGGGCUGUCUGUGCAUUGUGAGAUGGUCACCAGCAUCCUUGGCCUCUACUCAUUUGAAUUUAACAUCCCUGAAGACAGCCGGAUGGAGCUGCCCAAUAGAUGGUUGGGUGUUGGAGCGGGGGAGCUCAGGAGACAGCUUUGCAUUGUGUUUUCCAUAGCAUGCAAGGGCCCUUGCUGAGUAGGAAGGAGGAGGGAAUGACUCCUUGUGAGCAGCGAGGUUGGAGUUCAAGUUAUCUGUGCCCAUGCCCUGGCUCCCCAAGCAUCUUGUGGGUGCCUUGAGAAGAAAAAGAAUGUCUUAUUUGCCUCAGUAUCCCCUCAAUACUAUGCCUGGCAGAGUUGGUGCUUAAUAAAGGUUUAGAGAAUUGCACUAACUUGAUUUGGAAAGAACAGGAAAACCCAAAUAGCCUGAGAGCCCCUGCCAAGAGUAACAUUUGGAAGCUGAGUCAGGAAGAAGCUGAGAUCAGGUGAGGUUAAGUAUCCAGGAUCUCUGGUCUCCAGGAUCUGCCAAAACCAGGAUGUGGAGCAUCAGCAACUGUCAUAGUUGUUGAUGGGAGUGUAAGUGGUACAACUAGCAAAGGUGGGGAUGUCAUUCUUGUCGACCCAACAGUUGCACUCCUGGGUAGAGAAGCUCUUGAACAUGAGCAUCAGAAGUGAGACUCAUGAAUAUUCAAAUCAGCACAAUUGGUAGUGGCAGAGAUCUAAAUGUCUAUCAGCAGGAAAGGGAAUGAAUGGUGUUUUCAUCAUUUCAUCAUUUCAUGGCAGUGAAAAUGAAUGAACUACAAUUAUCAAUAGGGAUGAAUUUACAACCUUAACAUUGAAGGGGAAAAAGCAAAAUGCAUGCACUUAAGUAAGGUUUACAAAAAGAUCCAAAACUGAAUGAUGUAUUAGGAAUUCAUAAAUACGUAGUAACAUUAUGAAGAGAACCAAGAGAAUAACAAACACAAAAUUGAGGAUUGUAUUUACCUUUGUGGAGAGGAAGGGGUUGUGAUUGGGGAGGGACGCAUAAGGGCUUCAAAAGUAUGUGCCAUAUCCUAGUUCUUAAAAUGAGUGGUUGGCAGAUGGGUGUUCACUUUACGAUUCUUUAUACGUACAUUAAAAACGUAUGCGUGUCCUGGUUACUUCCUCCAGGGACAUUCCACCAGGCAGGGCUUAGCACAACUGGGAAUUCCCUGGUCAAAGUCAGGGAAUUUCAAGAUUUUUCAGCCAGUGGUUGGGCAAGGGGUCAUCUCUCUCGUCCCCUCCCUCGAGGUUCUGAGGAGCCUCAGAACAGACGUUCAACCUCUGGAAUCCCCCAGAAAAAAGACUCAUAGGGCAGCUUCCCCUUUCUCGGACAGGACAGAGUGGAGAUCCAGGGGGAUCCCCAGCCCCAACCAGCUGGCUCGAGGUCACAUCCUGAUAUUUCAGUUCUGUUCCCAUUCAUGUGUCUCAGCUGAGCAACUGCCAUGCUUGUGGCACUCUUAGGGGAAGGGAAGAAAUGAAUGAGGUGAUAAGACCCACGCCCUAAAGAAUCCAGGGCAGUAAGCUCCCUGGCUUUCGGUUUUUACAAACUAAUAAUAUUGUGUAAUAUAAAUACUGACAUUGUGCUGCCACCAUUUUAUUUUGUGAAGUAAGAGCAUUAGAAAACAAUUGCC